UACGGAGGGUGCGAGCGUUGUCCGGAAUCAUUGGGCGGAAAGGGCGCGUAGGUGGCGGCUUAAGCGUGCGGUGAAAGCUCGGGGCUCAACCCCGAGUCGGCCGUGCGAACUGAGUCGCUUGAGCACUGUAGAGGCAGGCGGAAUUCCGGGUGUAGCGGUGGAAUGCGUAGAGAUCCGGAAGAACACCGGUGGCGAAGGCGGCCUGCUGGGCAGUAGCUGACACUGAGGCGCGACAGCGUGGGGAGCAAACAGG
rnacentral:rRNA from 1 species